rnacentral:rRNA from 1 species
CCUACGGGAGGCAGCAGUGAGGAAUAUUGGUCAAUGGACGAGAGUCUGAACCAGCCAAGUAGCGUGAAGGAUGACUGCCCUAUGGGUUGUAAACUUCUUUUAUAAAGGAAUAAAACGAGGCACGUGUGCCUUUUUGCAUGUACUUUAUGAAUAAGGAUCGGCUAACUCCGUGCCAGCAGCCGCGGUAAUACGGAGGAUGCGAGCGUUAUCCGGAUUUAUUGGGUUUAAUGGGUGGGUAGGCGGACUGUUAAGUCAGCGGGAAAAGCCCGGGGCCAAACCCCGGCGAGCCGUUGAAACUGGCUGUCUUGAGAUGUCGAGAGGCAUGCGGAAUGCGCAGUGUAGCGGUGAAAUGCGUAGAUAUUGCGCAGAACUCCGAUUGCGAAGGCAGCAUACCGGCGGCGAUCUGACGCUGAGGCACGAAAGCGUGGGUAUCGAACAGGAUUAGAUACCCGUGUAGUC